rnacentral:rRNA from 1 species
UACAGAGGGGGCAAGCGUUGUUCGGAAUUACUGGGCGUAAAGGGCGCGUAGGCGGCCCGCUAAGUCGAACGUGAAAUCCCCGAGCUCAACUCGGGAACUGCGUCCGAUACUGGCGGGCUUGAAUCCGGGAGAGGGAUGCGGAAUUCCAGGUGUAGCGGUGAAAUGCGUUGAUAUCAUCAGGAACACCGGAGGCGAAGGCGGCUCACUGGGGGUCUUCUGACGCUGAGGAACGAAAGCCAGGGGAGCGAACGGG